rnacentral:rRNA from 1 species
AUUGAACGCUGGCGGCAGGCUUAACACAUGCAAGUCGAGCGAGCGGCGGACGGGUGAGUCAUGUCUGGGAACCUGCCUGAUGGCUGGGGAUAACUCCUGGAACCGGUAGCUAAUACCGCAUACCAUCAGAUUUUCCCAGAUGGGAUUAGCUAGUAGGUGGGUUAAUGGCUUACCUAGGCGACGAUCCCUAGCUGGUCUGAGAGGAUGACCAGCCACACUGGAACUGAGACACGGUCCAGACUCCUACGGGAGGCAGCAGUGGGGAAUAUUGCACAAUGGGCGAAAGCCUGAUGCAGCCACGCCGCGUGUGUGAAGAAGGCCUUCGGGUUGUAAAGCACUGUCAGCGGGGAGGCGGUACCCGCAGAAGAAGCACCGGCUAACUCCGUGCCAGCAGCCGCGGUAAUAC